UACGGAGGGGGCUAGCGUUGUUCGGAAUUACUGGGCGUAAAGCGCGCGUAGGCGGACCUGCAAGUCGGGGGUGAAAGCCCGAGGCUCAACCUCGGAACUGCCUUCGAUACUGCGGGUCUCGAGUCCGGGAGAGGUGAGUGGAAUUCCUGGUGUAGCGGUGAAAUGCGCAGAUAUCAGGAGGAACACCGGUGGUGUAGACGGCUUUCUGGACAAUCACUGACGCUGAGGUACGAAAGCGUGGGUAGCAAACAGG
rnacentral:rRNA from 1 species